UUGAAGUGUAACAAGGGAAAAGUUUUCAUUUUUUAUAAGAGUAUUAAUACAGCAAGAUUUACUGGCAUACUACACUCGCAAAAAAUAUAAAAAUGACAAUUAAAACCUAUUUUGCAAAUAUGUUAAAGAUAUAUCAUUCUAGUUUAUCAACAAAUAAAAAAUGUUGCGAAUUCUGGGCCACAAUAAUGUAAAAUCUCAAAGCGACACCGUCGGCGUCGCCGUCAGCAACAGUCAGUGCAAGAGGGAUUGUUUAUGUGAACAUGUACUUGUGAUUCGGAUAUGUGUCUUUUCGGCCUAUGUUGUUGUGUUGCUGCGUAAAUCAGUUUGCAAAAACAUAAUGUGACGCUGCUUGUUUUAUAGCCUGACUAUAGCAAAAUUAAAAUUGCCCUUGAAGCAACACGUACCAGCUUCCAGAGGUUUAUUAGCCUAAUGGGUGGAGGUAGCUAAGUAACUCAGUGACAUCUUGUAUCAACUGGGUCGAGACCUACUGAAACGGCUCCUCAUUAGAACGUACUGGACAUUAAUAAGUUUCAGGAGACACGCCUGUGCAGAAGACGUUACAGAGCAGGCCAGCUGGAAAGUUUUUACAGCCGUUUUCAAUGCCCAUUGAACUGGUCUUGGAGCAAAAAAUCUUUGAGAUCUGCUAAAAGGUUGAGGCGGAUUCUCCUGAGGCCAGUCCUGCUGUUUUUCCUCCGAUGGAGACAAGGCGCCGUAAAGGUCAAAGCUCAACUUUGCUAACUUGAAUUGUUCGAGCAGGAACCUCAACAUGUUGACACCAUCCGGGCAUUCAUGACGACGUAUUAAGGUCCAAAAGGUGAGUUCGUCUGUCCUCAAAGUUAAUCGCCGAAAAGAAGGUA